GAUGAAGAACGUAGCGAAAUGCGAUACGUAAUGUGAAUUGCAAAAUUCAGUGAAUCAUCGAAUCUUUGAACGCAUAUUGCGCUCUCUGGUAUUCCGGAGAGCAUGCUUGUUUGAGUAUCAGUAAACACCUCAACUUCCAUAUCUUUUUUGAAAUGGGAGUUGGACUUGAGUGAUCCCAACGCUUUUCAUCACCGAAAAGUGGCGGGUUACUUGAAAUGCAGGUGCAGCUGGACUUUUCUCUGGGCUAUAAGCAUAUCUAUUUAGUCUGCCUAAAAAACAGAUUAUUACCUUUGCUGCAGCUAACAUAAAGGAGAUUAGUUCUUGUGCUGACUGAUGCAGGAUUCACAAAGACAGGCUUCGGCCGACUUUGUAAACUCGAUCUCAAAUCAAGUAAGACUACCCGCUGAACUUAAGCAUAUCAAUAAGCGGAGGA
rnacentral:misc_RNA from 1 species